CCUACGGGAGGCAGCAGUGGGGAAUAUUGCACAAUGGGGGAAACCCUGAUGCAGCGACGCCGCGUGAGUGAAGAAGUAAUUCGUUAUGUAAAGCUCUAUCAGCAGGGAAGAAAAUGACGGUACCUGAGUAAGAAGCCCCGGCUAACUACUUGCCAGCAGCCGCGGUAAUACGUAGGGGGCAAGCGUUAUCCGGAUUUACGGGGUGUAAAGGGAGCGUAGACGGCAGUGCAAGUCUGGAGUGAAAGGCGGGGGCUCAACCCCCGGACUGCGCUGGAAACUGUACGGCUGGAGUGCAGGAGAGGUACGUGGAAUUCCUAGUGUAGCGGUGAAAUGCGUAGAUAUUAGGAGGAACACCAGUGGCGAAGGCGGCUUACUGGACUGUAACUGACGUUGAGGCUCGAAAGCGUGGGGAGCGAACAGGAUUAGAUACCCGAGUAGUC
rnacentral:rRNA from 1 species